ACUAAGCACUUUGAUCAAACUAAAAGACAUAAGAUGGGGCCUGCAGUGUAGGAAAUACUGCAAAUAAAACGGUUAAUCAUUGCAGCAUUAAAUAAACUAUUAAUAAUUAAGUGUACACAGUUAAAAAAAAUAAGAAGCUAAGACAAUGAAGACCAAAAAUGUCAAGAGAUGAUAUAAAAUGUAGCAGGAAGAUCAGUAUUAUUAUAGAUAUUAUAGUAUAUUCACUAUGGCAGAUAUAUAGAUUUAUGAGGGCUGUCAAAAUGAACCCUUGUUAACGCAGAUUAAUCCAUCAUCAUGAUUAAUCUGAUUAAAAAUUUUAACGCAAUUUAAGUCAUCUGAAGCGCAAAAUAACUGAACGUCUCUGGCAAUGCAUUUGGGUCAGUUUGUCCCAGUAGAGUUAGCGUUAACACACAUGAAUAAAUGGUCAGCUGAUCCAGUAGUGACAGGCAGCAGAACCAACCCAUAAAGAUGGAAGAUGAUAAACAGCACGUUGACCCUCUGGAUGGAAAUAUGAGAACAAAAAAACAAAAAAGAUGGAACAGUCAACCGAUUUAAAGUAUUCUACACACUCUGCACACUGGAAAAAAUGUCGGUUUUUAUUUCUAUUACAUUAUGACACACAGUGGCUUUGCGCUGUUUCAUGUUCAGACUUUUCUUUGGUUUUAUCGUCCCUCAUGGGCAGGUUUUAUUUCAGGUGUUUCAUAAAGGAUUAUAUGGAUUUUCAUAUAAAACAGAUGAUUACGCCUUCACAAGGAACAAAAUGCAGUAGAUUUAGAAAAUAAAACGUCUCAUUCCAGUGGAGAAAACAGCGCAGCAUUAAUAAUAAAGCUUUAAAGUGAAGCACAGCUGGUAGUUUUAGAGCUGGAAAUAAUGUCACUGCGGGAAAAAAAUGUUUGAAACUGGAGCGAAAUUAAAAAAAAAAAAAAUUAC